rnacentral:rRNA from 1 species
AGAUGCGAUCAUACAAUUACUAAAUCAUAGAAUUCCAUCACAAGUCUGAAGUUAAGCGUGCUUGCGCGAGAGUAGUACAAGGAUGGGUGCCCUCCUGGGAAGUCCUCGUGUUGCAUUCC